UACGUAGGGGGCAAGCGUUGUCCGGAAUCAUUGGGCGUAAAGCGCGUGUAGGCGGCCCAGUAAGUCCGCUCUGAAAGCCCGGGGCUUAACCCCGGGAGGCGGGUGGAUACUGCUGGGCUCGAGUCCGGAAGAGGCGAGUGGAAUUCCCGGUGUAGCGGUGAAAUGCGUAGAUAUCGAGAGGAACACCAGUGGCGAAGGCGAGUCCCUGGACAACACCUGACACUGAGGCACGAAAGCUAGGGGAGCAAACAGG
rnacentral:rRNA from 1 species